rnacentral:rRNA from 1 species
UACGUAGGGGGCAAGCGUUAUCCGGAAUUACUGGGUGUAAAGGGUGCGUAGGUGGUAUGACAAGUCAGAAGUGAAAACCCAGGGCUUAACUCUGGGACUGCUUUUGAAACUGUCAGACUGGAGUGCAGGAGAGGUAAGCGGAAUUCCUAGUGUAGCGGUGAAAUGCGUAGAUAUUAGGAGGAACAUCAGUGGCGAAGGCGGCUUACUGGACUGAAACUGACACUGAGGCACGAAAGCGUGGGGAGCAAACAGG